UCUUAAGUAAAGAGGUUUCUGAAAUUUUCUGCAAUUUCUUAAGUCCAAGUUAGAUAAUUUUGUUUAUAAAAAAAAUGUUGCAGAAUGCUUAAGGUUUUAGACAAUAUUUUCAUCAGAGCUAAUAAUUAUUUCUCCCCCUUUUUGUCAGAAUCAAAAAGACAUAGUAAAAAGAAUAAGUAAAGAGAAAAUAAAUAAAGAGA
rnacentral:lncRNA from 1 species